rnacentral:rRNA from 1 species
CAGUCACGUCUGCCAGGACUCAGCCUUGCUUCUGCUUGGUGUACUUUCUGGUUUGAUGGGCCAACAUCAAUUUUGACCGUUGGAGAAAGGCAUUGGGAACGUGGCACCUUCGGGUGUGUUAUAGCCCUUUGUUGUAUACGACGGUUGGGAUUGAGGACCGCAGCACGCCUUUAUGGCCGGGGCUCGCCCACGUACGUGCUUAGGAUGUUGGCAUAAUGGCUUUAAGCGACCCGUUUGAAACACGGACCAAGGAGUCUAACAUAUAUGCGAGUGUU